rnacentral:misc_RNA from 1 species
CCCGUCUUGUCCUCUCACAGCACUGGCCACACCCAUGUACACACACACACACACACACACAUACACACACACACAUACACACACACACAUACACACACACACACACACAAACCUGUGCUGACGUUUCGCAAUUUUCUUCGGUGGGUUUUGCCAUACGCCGCUUUCCGUGGCAGAGGCGGGUGGACGCACCACGUCGAGUGGCAAGUGCACAACCACACACGCACACGCACAAGGGCACGGUGCCCCGCCCCCUUUGUUUUUCCGGCUUUGCUGUGUGCGGGAGGAGGGGGACGUGGGGGGCGUGUCGGAUCGGCAAAGCGCCUGCGCCACGUCCGCACUGAGUGACGGCGCAGCGCGUUCGUGCUGUGAUUCGGUUUUGUACCCGGCGCCCCUCUGCGUUGCCUCCAUCUCUCGUUCUCAUCUUUCGUGUAGGCUUGGCCAUGUCCGCGGUGGCGUCCACCUAUUCCUCCGCGCAGGCUGCCGCUGCACCACCAACGGCUCCGCCCCCCACGGAGGAUGAGGCCGCGUCGUACACAAGCUCUAUUGUUCAGCUCCCACCGACCGUGCCGGAGCUGAUCCAGUGCCUGGAGCAGCAGCACGAGCGAUGCGCGCAGCUGACGCGCUGCCUCGAGCGCGUGCACACGCAGACGAGCCGACUGGUGUCAAGCAGGGCCGGAACACCUGCGGGGGAUCAGUAUAACGCCCUCUUUUCUGCUGCUGCAGACGGCGUUGCCAAGUCGAGCUCCCCACUCGCUGGGUGUUCGCCGACAACGUCGACACCGCCGCCGCCACCCUCUUUUGCCUUACAAGUCCGCCCGGCUGCUGACGCCAGCUCGGCCCCCGCCGCUGUCGUUGCGCGCGGCGUCCCUGCCACCACGGCGACGGGUGCUAGUCCGCCUGCGGCCCAUGCCGUUGCCGGCCGGGUAGUGCACGGCACGGCUGUGACCGGCAAGGUGGUGGGUGUGGCAGGUGCGGCUUCAACCACCACUGCUGUGCGCGCCGUGGUGGUGGCUGCGGAGCCGUCGACGAUGACGCCGAGCUGUGCGCCGGCAACUGCACCCUUCUCCGAAGAGGUUGCAGAGCUGCGAGUCAGGGCCGUUGCGUUGGAUGCUGCGCAAGGGCUUCUGACUAGCACUCAAAGUGAGCUGAGCACCACACAGACCGCACUGGCCAUGGAGAGGAAGCGGCUCGAGGCUGCGCUGGUGGAGCUUGCCGAGCUCCGCAAAGCGCUUCUCGCGGAUGUGAGCACCACCUCCCUGUCACUGCCACAAGCAGGCACCACGCCGGCUUCUCCGGCGCACCAACUCGCAGAUAUGCAGACGCGCUUGGCAGAGCGAGAGACGGAGGUGCGCGCGGCACGCCUGCGACACGAGAGCGCCGCGUACGCUCUGGCACAACUGCGGGAAGCUAUGUCCACCAUGAUGCGCGAGAAGGCGUUUUUGCAGGAGAAAAACGCGCACCUGGAGGGCCAGCUGCAGCGCCUCUUGACAAGCUCGAUGGAGGCGGCGGCCCACCCGGCACCACGUGCUGCAGCAGCGGCACCGCGGCUUACAGCCAGCGAGGCGUACCAGAAAGAGGCGCUGGAAAAGCAAAUCAGCGACUUGCAUGCCAUGGCCGACAGGCUCACGCGCGACGCAAAAAAGCAGGCGGCGCGGCGAGCCAAGGCGGAGGAGGUGGCGCAGGCCCUCCAGAAAGAGAACGCUGAGCUGAAGGCGUCAGCGCUGCUGUACCGCCGGCAAGUGAAUGAGAGCGAGCUGGAGCUGGAGCGGGCAAUCUCGCGCAAGGAGGAGGAUGAGCGACUCCGGCAGCUGGAGCGAGACGCAAACCGCCUGCGCAUCGCCUUGCGUGACCGUACCGCCCAGUACCAGCAGGAAAAGGCGAAAUGGGAGCGGCAGAUGCUCGCCUUGUCUCGGCAAGCACGUGUGAACGAAGCGGCAGCGAAGCAGCUGCUGAAGCGCGUGCUAGCCUGCCAGGUUCGAGAGGUGGUGUGGAAGCAGUGCCUACACUCCGCCACGCAACGCGGUGAUCGCGACAAGUCCACGACUACCGCGGCCGCGAAUGAGAGUUCGAAAGUGGCACCGGAGCCGGCCACACCGACUGUCGCUGCGGCAUCGUCGUCGACGUCGUCGCGCAUGGAGGACGCCGCCGUGACGACUCUCCGUGUCGCUUUGCCGUCGCCCUCUGUGCCCUACAGUCCGGUUUUCGGGGCCGCCGCAGACACAGCCGUGCUUGUGGACCGAGAGCGGCAACUCGAGGAGCUCAAGCACACCUUUGAACAACGCAUCGCGCUGGUGGAGGCGCAGCGGAAGGCUGAGAUGCAGCAGUUGCUAGCCCUCAACAAGGAGCUGCGCCAGGCGCUCACUGUGUCUCAGGACGGGUUGAGCGAGAAGACCAGGUUGCUCGAGGAGGUACAGCGCCGGUUACCGCCAUCCGCGGUGGCGCCGUUGAGCAACGCCCCCGCUGCGCCGACGACGACGUCGCAGCGCCCUUCCUUCUCGGGCAGCUGGCGAGACACGUCCGCGGCGUGGGUUUGCCGCAGCGACGGCGAAAACGGCCCUGUCGCCUCUUCUCUCGCCGACCUCGACAGCGGCGAUCCGCUCCCGUCGACGCACCUCCUCGUCGUUGCGUCUCCGCGGCAGGUCACCGACAUUGAACGGCGCUACAACCCGGAGCACAUGUCCACCUGGGAGGCGGUGCAGGUGGAGAACGAGGCGCUACUCGACCGUUUGACCACGAUGCAGGAGGAAAAGUGGAAGUUGACGACAAUGAUCGAGGACCUGCAGCUGCGGUGUGCCGCGCUGACGGGCGAGCUCAAGCGGAACGCCUCCACCAUGAACCAGCUGUUGGCGGCUGGGGUGUUGACCCCUGCAGCGGUGUCGCGUGGUGGUGAUGAGGGUCGACUACGCUCCCUGCAGUGUCUUCUGCAGGAGACGUUGCAAGCGAAGUUGGAGCUCGAGGAGCGGCUGCAGGAGGCAACGCGGCAGUUGCGGUGAGGGGCUGGCCGUGGAAAACGGCCCUCUUCUAAUAUCUGUCUCUCUGCCGCGCGGAAAGGGGUGGAGGCGAGACGCCGUAGCGGAUGCGCAUGCGCGCAUGUCUCGCCUGCGCCAUGGCCUUUGCUCGUGUGCUGCGCACGCCUCAGCUCCUUCCAAGCCGUCUGUGUGGUGCCUCCGCCUCUCCUAUGCACAUGCGUGGCUGUCUUCUGCUUUCUCUGUUUUUUUUUUCGUGGGACUUUUUGGGUUUUUGGUUGCGACGUGCGGCUCGUGGGAGUGUGGCACACACACAUGCACACAUACACGAGACCGUUGUCGUGGCGCUCAGCGUCUGACACCACCGUGCCGGCGGCCGCGUGACGCCUUCCAGGAAGCAGGCCUUGAGGUGCAUUGUUGAAAAGGGACGCGCCCGUGAGUGUUCGUGCACUUGCUGUGCCCGACCCUCCUCCUUCCCCUCCCCAAUGAGGCAGAACAGAGGGCGUUCUGAGUAAGCGAGUGGCGUGCCCUGAGUGACCGCGUUACCGUCUGUGUAAUGGUAUCUGGCUGACGUGUCGCACGCGUCUUUUCACUGGUUUCGCAGGUGGAGGUGUACGUGACCGGCAGCGAUGUCGUGCGACACCUCCUUCCGUAUUCCGCCUCCCUCCCUCGUGGUUUGCUCUGAUGAUGAUGCCCUCAUGACCUCCCCGCCACCGAUGUUUCUUUUAUUCCCCCCCCCCCCAUCUUUGUUUACCUAG